rnacentral:rRNA from 1 species
AGUGAACGCUGGCGGUAGGCCUAACACAUGCAAGUCGAACGGCAGCACAGUAAGAGCUUGCUCUUACGGGUAGCGAGUGGCGGACGGGUGAGGAAUACAUCGGAAUCUACUUUUUCGUGGGGGAUAACGUAGGGAAACUUACGCUAAUACCGCAUACGACCUACGGGUGAAAGCAGGGGAUCUUCGGACCUUGCGCGAUUGAAUGAGCCGAUGUCGGAUUAGCUAGUUGGCGGGGUAAAGGCCCACCAAGGCGACGAUCCGUAGCUGGUCUGAGAGGAUGAUCAGCCACACUGGAACUGAGACACGGUCCAGACUCCUACGGGAGGCAGCAGUGGGGAAUAUUGGACAAUGGGCGCAAGCCUGAUCCAGCCAUACCGCGUGGGUGAAGAAGGCCUUCGGGUUGUAAAGCCCUUUUGUUGGGAAAGAGAAGCAGCAGGUUAAUACCCCGCUGUUCUGACGGUACCCAAAGAAUAAGCACCGGCUAACUUCGUG